CCUACGGGGGGCAGCAGUAGGGAAUAUUGCUCAAUGGGUGAAACCCUGAUGCAGCAACGCCGCGUGGAGGAUGAAGGUUUUCGGAUUGUAAACUCCUUUUGUUAGAGAAGAUAAUGACGGUAUCUAACGAAUAAGCACCGGCUAACCCCGUGCCAGCAGCCGCGGUAAUACGGAGGGUGCAAGCGUUACUCAGAAUCACUGGGGGUAAAGAGCGCGUAGGCGGGAUAGCAAGUCAGAUGUGAAAUCCUAGGGCUUAACCAUAGAACUGCAUGUGAACCUGUUAGUCUAGAGUAUGGGAGAGGUAGGGGGAAUUCUUGGUGAAGGGGUAAAAGCGGAAGA
rnacentral:rRNA from 1 species